rnacentral:rRNA from 1 species
AUGUGGAAGCUGUCCUCCAACAAUCCGUCGGUCGCGUACUGGGAGUUUAAGCUUAAGGUGGACUUGACUGAUAUCUGGAGCCACCAGACCUACAAGUCUAGUAUGCUUCCGCAGAUCGUCCCCACGGUGGCGCUCGUCCACCCAAGGAAUGCCUACAAGGUUUACUUCUUCCUGGGCCAGCACAUCUUCUGUGUCAACCUGAAGAAAAAGAAACUGAUGCAGUGUCUGGAGUUGGACAAUCAGGAGCUGCCGUCACUCUCCUCCCUCGUGGUCCAUUCCUGGAAUUUGCCGGCAGGGACCACAAAAAUCCAUUCGUCUGGAACAUGUUUCAUGGGUUGCCGGCUUGUGGGGUCCACUGGAGUCAUCUUCCUCUGGGCUACCGCUAUUCCUGGCCUUCCGCUGCCACCCAUCAUCUUCUCUGCAAUAUGGCCCUCGGACCCCCUUACCUUAAUUAUCCGGAAAGAGAGGCCUGAUGAGUCUCACGCCCCUGGGGUUCAUUUCCUGGUUCACUAUAACUCGGUGGAUGGUUUUCUUGAGAAAGCAGUAGCUGUCAUCAGCAGGUCGCGUCCUGAAUUGUUUGGCAUGGGUCUGGAUGAACUUGAAGAAGACGAAGAUCACUCUCUUACCAUGGAGGAAUCUGAUGACGGAGAUGACUCUGAGAUGGAGCAACUUGAAGAGGGCGGAAAUGACUGCGAGAUGACUGAGGAAUCUGAAGAGGACUGA